CAAUAGCGUAUAUUAAAGUUGUUGCAGUUAAAAAGCUCGUAGUCGGAUUUUGGCAUCACGCCGAACUGUCUGCCGAUUGGUAAGCACGGUUUGGCGGUUGCUUCCUUCCGGAGGCUCGUUUCCUUCUUAACUGAAGGGUUCGUAGGUUCCGGUUCUUUUACUUUGAGAAAAUUGGAGUGUUCAAAGCAGGCCUAUGCUCUGAAUAGGUUAGCAUGGAAUAAUGGAAUAGGACUUUGGUUCUAUUUUGUUGGUUUCUAGGACCGAAGUAAUGAUUAAUAGGGACAGUUGGGGGCAUUCAUAUUCCAUUGUCAGAGGUGAAAUUCUUGGAUUAACGGAAGAUGAACUUCUGCGAAAGCAUCUGCCAAGGAUGUUUUCAUUG
rnacentral:rRNA from 1 species